rnacentral:misc_RNA from 1 species
AACGCACAUUGCGCCUCUUGGUAUUCCGAGGGGCAUGUCUGUUUGAGCGUCAGUACACACCUCUUGUGAACUUUAUUGUGAUCAGGGCUCUGGGGCCGGCGGGCGGGCGGUCAAACGCCCCGCCUGUCGCCCCUAAUGUGGCACGCUUGCGGACCUCCGGUCAGUGAUCAACGUAGUAAAAUUUACUUUCUCGACAGAGAAAUGCUCGUGGUGACCUGCCGGGCGGCUUCGCCUGAAUCAAACUCUUUCUAUGGUUUGACCUCAGAUCAGACAAGGAUACCCGCUGAACUUAA